GAUGAACGCUGGCGGCGUGCCUAAUACAUGCAAGUCGAGCGAACAGACGAGGAGCUUGCUCCUCUGACGUUAGCGGCGGACGGGUGAGUAACACGUGGAUAACCUACCUAUAAGACUGGGAUAACUUCGGGAAACCGGAGCUAAUACCGGAUAAUAUAUUGAACCGCAUGGUUCAAUAGUGAAAGACGGUUUUGCUGUCACUUAUAGAUGGAUCCGCGCCGCAUUAGCUAGUUGGUAAGGUAACGGCUUACCAAGGCAACGAUGCGUAGCCGACCUGAGAGGGGUGACGGCCCACAUUAGACCUGAACCAGGCCCAGCCCUCCGCGGGGAGGACGAGGAGGGAAUUUUUCAGAAAUGGGCGAAGGCCGAAGGGAGCACCCCGGCGUGAGUAAUAAGUGUUUUAGGUUCUAAAACCUGUUUUUUGGGGAAAAAAAAAUUGUGUAAUAAACAAGGCCGGUCUGGAGGGUCCCUAAUAAAAAGCCCACGACUAACUCGGGC
rnacentral:rRNA from 1 species